rnacentral:rRNA from 1 species
AGUGAACGCUGGCGGUAGGCCUAACACAUGCAAGUCGAACGGCAGCACAGGAGAGCUUGCUCUCUAGGUGGCGAGUGGCGGACGGGUGAGGAAUACAUCGGAAUCUGCCCAGUCGUGGGGGAUAACGUAGGGAAACUUACGCUAAUACCGCAUACGACCUUCGGGUGAAAGAGGGGGAUCGCAAGACCUCUCGCGAUUGGAUGAGCCGAUGUCGGAUUAGCUAGUUAGCGGGGUAAUGGCCCACCAAGGCGACGAUCCGUAGCUGGUCUGAGAGGAUGAUCAGCCACACUGGAACUGAGACACGGUCCAGACCCCUACGGGAGGCAGCAGUGGGGAAUAUUGGACAAUGGGCGCAAGCCUGAUCCAGCCAUACCGCGUGGGUGAAGAAGGCCUUCGGGUUGUAAAGCCCUUUUGUUGGGAAAGAAAUCUUUCAGGCUAAUACCCUGGGAGGAUGACGGUACCCAAAGAAUAAGCACCGGCUAACUUCGUG